GUCCAGGUGGCGGAACUGGUAGACGCGCUAGCUUGAGGGGCUAGUGGGAGCAAUCUCGUGCGGGUUCAACUCCCGCUCUGGACACCA
rnacentral:tRNA from 2 species